CCAGCUCCAACGGCGUAUAUUAACGUUGUUGCAGUUAAAAAGCUCGUAGUUGGAGUUAUGGCGUGCGCCUUUUUGGAAGGGCAGACGAGGAAACUUGAAUGUUCUUCUAGCUAGGACGCGCUGUAUCUUUGCUGCUACGUUAUGCAUGCCUUCACUGGUGUGUAUAAUAGUACAGCGCAUUACUGUGAAAAAAUUAGAGUGUUCCAAGCAGAUGUAUGUCUGAAUAGUUCAGCAUGGAAUAAUGGAAUAGGGGGAGUUGCCCUAUCGUUGGUUCGGGGUGAUUUCUGAUGAUAAAUAGGGACAGUUGGGGGCAUUAGUAUUUAAUUGUCAGAGGUGAAAUUCGAGGAUUUAUGAAAGACUAACUUCUGCGAAGGCAUUUGCCAAGGAUGUUUUCA
rnacentral:rRNA from 1 species